AACGAACGCUGGCGGCAGGCUUAACACAUGCAAGUCGAACGGGCCCUUCGGGGUCAGUGGCAGACGGGUGAGUAACGCGUGGGAACGAGCCCUUCAGUUUGGGAUAACCCAGGGAAACUUGGGCUAAUACCGGAUACGUGCGAGAGCAGAAAGAUUUAUCGCUGAAGGAUCGGCCCGCGUCUAAUUAGCUGGUUGGUAGGGUAAUGGCCUACCAAGGCGACGAUCAGUAGCUGGUCUGAGAGGAUGAUCAGCCACAUUGGGACUGAGACACGGCCCAAACUCCUACGGGAGGCAGCAGUGGGGAAUAUUGGACAAUGGGCGCAAGCCUGAUCCAGCCAUGCCGCGUGAGUGAUGAAGGCCUUAGGGUUGUAAAGCUCUUUCAGUGGGGACGAUAAUGACGGUACCCGCAGAAGAAGCCCCGGCUAACUUCGUGCCAGCAGCCGCCGUAA
rnacentral:rRNA from 1 species